CGAACCCUCAAGCACGGCUUGUGUGUUGGGCCGCCGUCCCCUCGUUUGGAGGGGACGGGCCUGAAAGGCAGCGGCGGCGUCGCGUCCGGUCCUCGAGCGUAUGGGGCUCUGUCACGCGCUCAAGGAGGGGUCCGGCCGGGGCCAUAGCCUCUGAAGGUCAAUUCUUCCAA
rnacentral:misc_RNA from 1 species